ensembl:lncRNA
CAAAGAGGGAAAACACUGCCCUUAUGUAUUAGCCCCCAAAUUACAGCCCCUGACCUCCUGAAGCAGGCUGUAGAAAAAAUGAGAACAUUCAACAAGGACUUGGUGGAGGGACCAUAUGUUCUUUUGUAUCCCGACUGCACAGAGGUGAUUAAUGUGCCUGGGACAGAAAGGCCAUUCCGGUUGGCAGACUACAAAGAGGAAAUAGGAAAGAACUACAACAGGAUUUCUCUUUUCAUUUGCCCAGAGAGCCACUUCAAACAAGCUCUGAUUGCAGAGGAUGGUACCUCAGACUCAGACCCUGAGAUUGUGAUUACAUCAAGAAGCACAGCUGAGUUCAACCAGGCAGACACAUUGGUUUUCAAACCACAAGACCAGAGUACCCCUAAUGGUAAACAUGCAGAGAAGGAUUAAGUUAUUUCAGAGCUUGUUCUGCUAUAUAUUAGAGUUGGGCAAUACAAUAUUUUCUCAUGUCACAAUAUUUCUUUGUUUUAUUUCAGGGAAUUUUGAUAUACAUCACGAUAUAAACA